rnacentral:tRNA from 1 species
GCCGGUGUGGCUCAGUGGAUAGAGCGUCAGCCUGCAGAAUGAAGGGUCUCAGGUUCGAUUCCCGUCAAGGGCA